rnacentral:rRNA from 1 species
UAAUACGGAGGGGGCUAGCGUUGUUCGGAAUUACUGGGCGUAAAGCGCACGUAGGCGGCUUUGUAAGUUAGAGGUGAAAGCCCGGAGCUCAACUCCGGAAUUGCCUUUAAGACUGCAUCGCUUGAAUCCAGGAGAGGUGAGUGGAAUUCCGAGUGUAGAGGUGAAAUUCGUAGAUAUUCGGAAGAACACCAGUGGCGAAGGCGGCUCACUGGACUGGUAUUGACGCUGAGGUGCGAAAGCGUGGGGAGCAAACAGG